CCCUGGUAAUGGAGCAUCUAACUCAUUCUCGUGCUACCUCCAGCCCCACCCUUGUUGUCCUUCUUGCCUGGCAAGGGAGCGGCUGGCUUGAGCUCAGGACGGGAUGGCAGCAGAGGGAACCAUGGGUCAGGGCAGGGAGCAGGUUUCUUUUUCUAGUAGCUUCUCACCAAGGAAGGGCAGGCACCAACUCUCACCUGGAGAACGUGGGCCUCCGCCCCGCCAUGGUACCUGCUGUGACUCUUUCCUGCUGAAAAAAGAGUCUGGAGCGUCUUUAACCUUGUGUGAGUCACAGAUCGCCCUGGAUCUCAUUUGUGCAACCGGAAGAUCGCAUGAAAACACUAACAGGAAGACUUUUUCAGUAAUAUGACCUCCCCACCACCAUUUAUCCUCUCCUUGUAUCUUGGAUGGGGCGAAUUCUCUCGUACGCCUAUUGUGCUCCAAAAUGUCGCUUCUCAAGAGUUUCCACAGUAAUUCUACAAUGGAUUCUGAAGUCAACAGUAAUUCACAGUGGCCAAGGAAGGACGAGAAUGCGCCUCUUCCCUCCUCUGCCAUCCUUCCCCUAAGUAUUAGUUGGGUAGCUCCAGGAAGUGUUGCUGGAACAAAGAAAUGCCAGUGUUCUGUAACCAUCCCGCCAGUGAGGAGCGGAACACGAGCAGAUCCUGACUCAGAACAAGCUUCGCGGUGGCUUGUGAGCCAAAGACCUCGGUGGCAGCAAGCUCUAAGGCCAUGGGCACAGAGUAAAUGAUGACCAUGUACCUGCCACUUGGAGAAGUCUGAGAGAAAGGGCAACACUGAAGCAGAAAUAAAAGA